CAUACACUGCUAAGAGAGUAAAUUGAUGCAGCCUUUUUGCAAACAGUUGUGUGGUAGGUAAAAGUCUCAAAAUGUGCUUGCCCUUUGACAUUUCUCCUUCUAGGUUUUUAUCAUAAGGAAGUAAUUAAGGAUAUGAUAUGCUCAGAGAUAGGAGUGGAAGAUUCAGCUGCAUUGGGAUGCUUUCAUCUGCAGUCAGGAAAACUCUUGAACUGACACAUUGGAAGGACUGAAGAUUGUUUUUUAAAAUGUGACGAGCUAUUUUUCAGAGUUGUUCAAAAGAGACCUACUUUCCUAAUUCCUUGGCAUUUAAAAAUAUUGUCACAUUAUGACUUUUCGGACCUUUUUUCGUAAGCAAAACUACAACUUAACUACAAAUUUUUUUUCCACAGGUCCCUUAAUAUGGACUUUGAAAAUCAAGAUAAGGAGAAAGACAGUAAUAGUUCUUCUGGGUCUUUCAAUGGCAACAGCACCAAUAAUAGCAUCCAAACAAUUGACUCUACCCAGGCUCUGUUCCUUCCAAUUGGAGCAUCUGUCUCUCUUUUAGUAAUGUUCUUCUUCUUUGACUCAGUUCAAGUAGUUUUUACAAUAUGUACAGCAGGUAAAUAUGAGUUUCUCUGUCUAGUCUUAACAUACUAAAAGAAAAAUUUUUCACCUUUAUCAUUGUUCAAAAAUUAAGAUUUAUAUACCAUGUCAUGUAAGUUUUUCCUUAUACAUCUUUGCUUCGCCUUCUCUGUCUCAACCAUGCCGCCCUUCCCCAACUCCUCCUUGAACUGCUUGAUCCACGUCAUCUGUUGAGACCUGCCCACACAAUCUGAAAGAAAGGCUGGAGACGUGAAAGUGCAGGAAUUCUAUGACACCAGAGCAGUAUU
rnacentral:sRNA from 1 species